AAGUCUGACAGGCUUGAAGAAGUCUGGGCAUUAUUUGGACAAAGCCCUCAGGCACAGGGUGUGAUUCUUGGGGAUGUCCUGUCCAGGGCCAGGAUCUGGACUUGAUGAUCCUGAUGGGUCCCUUGAGCUCAGCACAUUCUGUGAUUCUGUUGGAAUACAGUCAGUGGUAAAUUGGACAAGUUAGGGCACAGGUAGAUUUAGUGCAAGCAGUAGAGAGGCCCUGAAGACUCAGGGAUAACAGAGAACACAGCAGUCAUUUGCUACACACCUAAUGCAAAUGCUAGAAUGGGUCUGUUGCAACAACUCCACCUAUUCAAUCAUUUGAAUAAUUUGAGGCAUUUGGCUUCCUUACCCUUUCAGAAGCAGUCUGAGUGCUGCUUUUGCUGACAGCCAUUCAUUCACGUGUCUCUUCAGGACAGCUCAUGAAUCUGCUUGCACCUCCUUAGCUCCCAGGCCACCUCUUCUCUCAUGCUCCUUCCUCCCUUUGAAAUUCUCUUAUUGGAGGCCCAAAGAUGGCAGUCUCCUGCCCCAGACCACCUGGGGAAAAUGGUCUUUACUGAAAUGGAAGAUAUCUGCCAGUUCCCUUCUGAGAUGCUUCCUUGAUUGGCUGCCUGCAGGGAGCCCAAGGCAGCUCUGAGCCCCAGGCCUGGAUUUAUGCAUUUCAUCAGCCAUCUACUUUGGAGAGGAAUGGCAUAAAUUUCAACACAUCUGCUAUUUUUGCCUGCAAAAUAUUCAAAAUUGUUUCUGCAGAAGCUACGGGCAGCAGUGGGGGACAUUUAUUUAAAGAAACUUGGAACAAUGGAUCACUAGUGAUUAAAAUAAAAAUGGAAAUUACAUUCUGGAUGUAGGAGGC
rnacentral:lncRNA from 1 species